GGGAGCUUGCUCCCUGGGUGACGAGCGGCGGACGGGUGAGUAAUGUCUGGGAAACUGCCUGAUGGAGGGGAUAACUACUGGAAACGGUAGCUAAUACCGCAUAACGUCGCAAGACCAAAGAGGGGGACCUUCGGGCCUCUUGCCAUCAGAUGUGCCCAGAUGGGAUUAGCUAGUAGGUGGGGUAAUGGCUCACCUAGGCGACGAUCCUAGCUGGUCUGAGAGGAUGACCAGCCACACUGGAACUGAGACACGGUCCAGACUCCUACGGGAGGCAGCUGGGGAAUAUUGCACAAUGGGCGCAAGCCUGAUGCAGCCAUGCCGCGUGUGUGAAGAAGGCCUUCGGGUGUAAAGCACUUUCAGCGAGGAGGAAGGUGGUGAACUUAAUACGCUCAUCAAUUGACGUUACUCGCAGAAGAAGCACCGGCUAACUCCGUGCCAGCAGCCGCGGUAAUACGGAGGGUGCAAGCGUUAAUCGGAAUUACUGGCGUAAAGCGCACGCAGGCGGUUUGUUAAGUCAGAUGUGAAAUCCCCGGGCUCAACCUGGGAACUGCAUGAAACUGGCAAGCUAGAGUCUCGUAGAGGGGGGUAGAAUUCCAGGUGUAGCGGUGAAAUGCGUAGAGAUCUGGAGGAAUACCGGUGGCGAAGGCGGCCCCCUGGACGAAGACUGACGCUCAGGUGCGAAAGCGUGGGAGCAAACAGGAUUAGAUACCCUGGUAGUCCACGCUGUAAACGAUGUCGAUUUGGAGGUUGUGCCCUUGAGCGUGGCUUCCGGAGCUAACGCGUUAAAUCGACCGCCUGGGGAGUACGGCCGCAAGGUUAAAACUCAAAAAUUGACGGGGGCCCGCACAAGCGGUGGAGCAUGUGGUUUAAUUCGAUGCAACGCGAAGAACCUUACCUCUCUUGACAUCCAGAGAACUUUCCAGAGAUGGAUUGGUGCCUUCGGGAACUCUGAGACAGGUGCUGCAUGCUGUCGUCAGCUCGUGUUGUGAAAUGUUGGGUUAAGUCCCGCAACGAGCGCAACCCUUAUCCUUUGUUCCAGCGGUUCGGCCGGGAACUCAAAGGAGACUGCCAGUGAUAAACUGGAGGAAGGUGGGGAUGACGUCAAGUCAUCAUGGCCCUUACGAGUAGGGCUACACACGUGCUACAAUGGCGUAUACAAAGAGAAGCGC
rnacentral:rRNA from 1 species